rnacentral:rRNA from 1 species
UACAGAGGUGGCAAGCGUUGUUCGGAAUUACUGGGCGUAAAGGGCGCGUAGGCGGCCCGUCAAGUCCCGUGUGAAAGCCCCCGGCUCAACCGGGGAACGGCGCGGGAAACUAGCAGGCUUGAGUUCGGGAGAGGGAAGCGGAAUUCCGGGUGUAGCGGUGAAAUGCGUAGAUAUCUGGAGGAACACCGGUGGCGAAGGCGGCGUCCUGGACCAACACUGACACUGAGGAGCGAAAGCCAGGGGAGCAAACGGG